rnacentral:tRNA from 1 species
GAAUACGGUAGGCCUUAGCCUCCGGUUUGGGACCAGGAGACCGCGAGUUCGAAUCUCGCCCGAGUCG